rnacentral:lncRNA from 1 species
AUGGGAAAAGAGGCCAGGGCAGUCCAGCCUUCCAUCUGCAGGAUGAUGGUGUGUGUGUGCGCGACAUUCCACGUGCAGGGGUGGCACAUUCCACACUGCAUAGCCAGUGCCUCCUGGUCCCAAACAGACAGCCGUAGUGAGAGUCUCCCCUUCCAGUUGAGUUUGCUCUCUGCCUCAGUGAGCAGAUCCAGGUGUGGGAGAAGUGGCCCUGACCUGUUCUGUGAUGAAUGGCAGGGAUCACAGCUGGGCCUUCUAUGUGGCAGGGUCUGUGUGAUAAGACCGGUUGUUUGCUUUUUCCUGCAGGAGUCGGAGGGCUUUGAUGACAGACUGUUUCUUAAGCAGAGGAUGAGCUUACUGUCUCAGAUGACCUCAACUCCUAUUGACUGCCUCUUUAAGCACAUCGCUUCAGGUAACCAGAAGGAAGUGGAAAGACUUCUGAGCCAAGAAGACCAUGACAAAGAUGCUGUCCAAAAGAUGUGUCACCCACUAUGCUUCUGUGAUGACUGUGAGAAACUGGUCUCUGGGUAAGAGGGAGCUGUGUGUGCCAGGGGUAGGAGACAUGGUCCUGGUGGAAUUUUCCACUUAUCUUCCGUGCACUUAUGAAAAGGGCCACAUUCUCACUGCAUCUCAGCUUCCUCUGCUGCCACAUGUGACAUCCGCUCCUUAGGAGAACCAGGCGAAGUAGAGGUUGUAAAAAUAUCUGCAUGCCACUGGGCUGGUGUAAGGGCUUCCUCAGCCUCAGCUUUAAAGGGGGCUUUAGGGUGGGGCAAUGUCAGUUUUUCCAAAUUACACUUUUGGUUUCAACAGGCUAUUUGGGGAGCCAGGGAUUUAGCCCAGUGGUGCAUGCCUGCCUGGCAAGCGCAAGGUCCUGAGUUUGAUCCCUGGUACUGGGAAAAAACAAAAACAAAAGGCUAUUUUGCCAAGUGCUGAGACCUAAAGGGCUGGACGGGGAGGAACACUGGAGCUACAGGCCUCGGAUCCUCUCCCUAUAGGAGUUGGCCAGGAGGUCCCUUGCCAGUGCGGACACAUUCUGCGAUCUCAAGAUGCCGGCAUGAUGGCCUGGCUGGAAAGAGGCUUUACCAUGCCAUUCCACCUAUGUGCUUUUCUGUGUCUUCUCUGUCCUAGGAGGCUGAAUGAUCCAUCCAUUGUCACUCCAUUCUCCAGAGAUGACAGGGGGCACACGCCUCUCCAUGUGGCUGCUCUCUGUGGUAUGUGGCCCUGCUGUGGCUCCUGUGGCAAAGGGGUGGCACCGAGCGAGGUGGCCCGGUGCAGCCUGGCUGACGGGGUAGCACAGAGCAUGCAUGGUGGAUGCACUCCCAGGGCUGGCAAGGGGAGAAUAGCGAAUGUCCCAUGGGCCUGGAUAGCCGUUGUGUGACCUCUGUGGCCAUCGUGCUGCUUCUUGGGCCAGAAGAGCUCAUCCAUGGGUCUUACCCGGUAGACACUGCCUGACACUGCCCUGGGGCUGGGGCCCAGG